rnacentral:tRNA from 1 species
GAAUGUACCUCAGUGGCAGAGCACUUGCCUAGCAUGUGUGAGGUCCUGGAUUCAAUCCCCAGCACA